rnacentral:ribozyme from 1 species
UUUUUUUGUUUUGUUUCAAUUUAAUUCUCCUAUAUAUAUAUGAUGAUGAUGAUAUAUAUAUAAACUCAAAGGAAAGUACGGGAAGCUA